rnacentral:rRNA from 1 species
CCUACGGGAGGCAGCAGUGAGGAAUAUUGGUCAAUGGACGAGAGUCUGACCCAGCAACGCCGCGUGAAGGAAGAAGGCUUUCGGGUUGUAAACUUCUUUUAAGGGGGAAGAGCAGAAGACGGUACCCCUUGAAUAAGCCACGGCUAACUACGUGCCAGCAGCCGCGGUAAUACGGAGGUGGCAAGCGUUGUCCGGAUUUACUGGGUGGAAAGGGCGUGCAGCCGGAGAGACAAGUCAGAUGUGAAAUCCACGGGCUCAACCCGUUGACUGCAUUUGAAACUGUUUCCCUUGAGUGUCGGAGGUGUAAUCGGAAUUCCUUGUGUAGCGGUGAAAUGCGUAGAUAUAAGGAAGAACACCAGGGGCGAAGGCGGAUUACUGGACGAUAACUGACGGUGAGGCGCGAAAGCGUGGGGAGCAAACAGGAUUAGAUACCCCUGUAGUC